rnacentral:rRNA from 1 species
UGGGGAAUUUUGCGCAAUGGGGGAAACCCUGACGCAGCAACGCCGCGUGGAGGAUGAAGUAUCUUGGUACGUAANNUCCUUUCGAUGGGGAAGAUUAUGACGGUACCCAUAGAAGAAGCCCCGGCUAACUUCGUGCCAGCAGCCGCGGUAAUACGAGGGGGGCAAGCGNNNUUCGGAUUUAUUGGGCGUAAAGGGUGCGUAGGCGGUUUGGCAAGUCUUAUGUGAAAUCUUCGGGCUCAACCCGAAGCCUGCAUAAGAAACUGCCGGGCUUGAGUAUGGGAGAGGUGAGUGGAAUUUCCGGUGUAGCGGUGAAAUGCGUAGAUAUCGGAAGGAACACCUGUGGCGAAAGCGGCUCACUGGACCAUAACUGACGCUGAGGCACGAAAGCUCUGGGAGCAAACA